rnacentral:misc_RNA from 1 species
CCCUGCCAUCUAUUGUCUUAUAAGAAGACACACUUAAGUAUGAUGAAAGAUGAAUGGUACCCGAAACCUCAAAAACAAUCCAUAGUGGUUGUCUUCUUCUGCAACCCUCACGGAGCGAUCCAGGACCAUCAUCGGCCAAAGUGGUGACGUAAUAGAGCGGACCAUGGAGGCCACCAAUGGCGAAACGGCCGAAUCCCUCUGCACGGCCGGCAAUGGAUCGGAGGCUGAAGUCGACGUCGGCGUACGGCAGCGAGGUCAUGUUCG